CUGGGGGUCCCGCAGGCCAGAAGCCAAGUGGAUGCUGUGGACAUGCUCACUUCUGGCAGAGCACCAGCACAACAGCUUACCUAAGCUUCGGAGGUGGACCAAAGCCAAGCCUCUGCUCAAGUGACAUAAUCUCUCCAGACCUUGAUGGAUAAAAAGCACUUCUAGCUGCACAUCUCUUCUUGGAAUAGGACAGACGGGGAUGAAAAGACUAGUACCUUGAGAGAAAGCAAUGUGAAAAGGGUAAAGAAGCUGCUUGAAUUCUGUGACCCCUACUGCCUGUUCAUGUCUGGCAUGGAUAUAAACAACAUUUGAAAAAGUCUGCUUUAGGUAGACCCAAAGUUAAGCUUAGAAAACAGACAAAAUGUGCAUUCUAUGGACAGCACCGGGUGAACAACAAGGUUUUUUGGCAAACUGUCAGUAUCAAGCACUCAUGGAUAGAGCUCACCUUUUUGGAGGAGUAAUACCUCUGAAAUACGAUUCUGACCCAAAGACAGAGAAGACAUUGGAAUAUUUUAACUUCCAGAAGAAAAGAGCAAGAGAAAGAAGUAUUUUUCUUUUCCUCUCCCCAUCCAAGAUUUCCUGUAAGUCUUA